rnacentral:rRNA from 1 species
UAAUACGUAGGGAGCGAGCGUUGUCCGGAUUUAUUGGGCGUAAAGCGAGCGUAGGCGGUUCGAUAAGUCGGAUGUGAAAACUCCAAGCUCAACUUGGAGCCUGCAUCCGAAACUGUCGUGACUUGAGUCUGGUAGGGGAACACGGAAUACCUGGUGUAGCGGUGAAAUGCUUAGAUAUCAGGUGGAACACCAGUGGCGAAGGCGGUGUUCUGGGCCAGUACUGACGCUGAUGCUCGAAAGCGUGGGGAGCGAACAGGAUUAGAUACCCUGGUAGUCCACGCUGUAAACGUUGCACACUAGGUGUGGGGACCUAUCGACGGUUUCCGUGCCGUAGCUAACGCAUUAAGUGUGCCGCCUGGGGAGUACGGUCGCAAGACUA